rfam:Ovis aries breed Texel chromosome 9, whole genome shotgun sequence.
UCCCUGGUAGCUCAGAGGUUAAAGCGUCUGCCUGCAAUGCGGGAGACCCGGGUUCGAUCCCUGGGUUGGGAA